CUUGAGUCAGCCCAAAUCGCCAACAAAUACCGAUUCAGUCCAAAAUGUUCAUGGGAUGCAUCUCGUGCAAAUCUUUGGUUGGUCAGGGUGACUGGCUUCAGUAGUGGAUGACCUUGUCGGAUGACCCAUCUGUCGUACUGGGCCGAUACGGGGGAGGUGAGACAGCUAUGCAGAGCCUGAACACUCUGAUUUCCACCUCCGCAGAUGGUGGGUCACCUUAAGUAAAGACAAACACAAAGGUCAAAGGGAGAAGUUUAAGAUCUGAGGAUGAAAACAGUUCUGUAGAUUGUGAAGACUGGACUGGAAAACAAGACAAGAAGCAGGUGACAGCUUUUUGUUUUUAAAGUUAGAACUUAGACAAGAUGUAAACACACACAUCUGAUUAGCAGAACACUCAAAACCCUGAGGAUUACUUUGUUGUUGUUACAUCUACAUGUUUGUUUCAUUUGAUCUGACAUCCGUCAAUCAUCACAUGAGU